rnacentral:rRNA from 1 species
GCAGUCGAGCGACAGACGAGGAGCUUGCUCCUCUGACGUUAGCGGCGGACGGGUGAGUAACACGUGGAUAACCUACCUAUAAGACUGGGAUAACUUCGGGAAACCGGAGCUAAUACCGGAUAACAUGUUGAACCGCAUGGUUCAACAGUGAAAGACGGUCUUGCUGUCACUUAUAGAUGGAUCCGCGCCGCAUUAGCUAGUUGGUAAGGUAACGGCUUACCAAGGCAACGAUGCGUAGCCGACCUGAGAGGGUGAUCGGCCACACUGGAACUGAGACACGGUCCAGACUCCUACGGGAGGCAGCAGUAGGGAAUCUUCCGCAAUGGGCGAAAGCCUGACGGAGCAACGCCGCGUGAGUGAAGAAGGUCUUCGGAUCGUAAAACUCUGUUAUUAGGGAAGAACAAAUGUGUAAGUAACUAUGCACGUCUUGACGGUACCUAAUCAGAAAGCCACGGCUAACUACGUGCCAGCAGCCGCGGUAAUACGUAGGUGGCAAGCGUUAUCCGGAAUUAUUGGGCGUAAAGCGCGCGUAGGCGGUUUUUUAAGUCUGAUGUGAAAGCCCACGGCUCAACCGUGGAGGGUCAUUGGAAACUGGAAAACUUGAGUGCAGAAGAGGAAAGUGGAAUUCCAUGUGUAGCGGUGAAAUGCGCAGAGAUAUGGAGGAACACCAGUGGCGAAGGCGACUUUCUGGUCUGUAACUGACGCUGAUGUGCGAAAGCGUGGGGAUCAAACAGGAUUAGAUACCCUGGUAGUCCACGCCGUAAACGAUGAGUGCUAAGUGUUAGGG